rnacentral:rRNA from 1 species
UACAGAGGGUGCUAGCGUUGUUCGGAAUCAUUGGGCGUAAAGGGCGUGUAGGCGGUUUGUUAAGUCAUGUGUGAAAGCCCUUGGCUCAACUGAGGAAGUCGCAUCCGAAACUGGCGAGCUAGAGUAUGUGAAGAGGGUCGCGGAAUUCCCGGUGUAGAGGUGAAAUUCGUAGAUAUCGGGAGGAACGACCGGUGGCGAAGGCGGCGACCUGGGGACAAUACUGGACGCUGAGGUGCGAAAGC